GAUCCUCCCACCUCAGCCUCCCGAGUGGCUGGGACUUCAGGGUUCUGUGCCCUUUCCUGUUGAUCCUGGUACAAGAGCCCCGGCCACAGGGCAGGCUCACGGCAAGGCUGUCAGACAGAAGAAGCCGAUUUCACCAGCUUCCCGGAGGGGCCAGGGGAUGGUCCUGCCUGAGCCUGGGUUCCAUUCUUUGGUCCUCUGUUGCAUUCCAUGGGCCCGGGAGCCUUUUUUGGACAGACGCCGUGGUGUGACUCCAGCUGAGCUGCCCCCUUGGCCAGGGCCACCAGAGGCAGCCCCCUGCCUCCAGAUCAAGAGCCCACCCACCCUCACGGGUGGCCAGGAGCUGGCCCCUGGCCUGUGGGCCGGCCUGGCUGCCUUGGUCAUGGCAGGAAGGAUCCAUCACUGCUGCCUGAUGGAUGAUCUGAGCCGCCUCCUGCCCGCGCCCCGUGCUGUUUCAGCUGCAGAAAAAUGUUUAUCACUCGGCACAGCAGCGACCCUCCCUCCCUGCCUGCCUCCCUCCCUGCCUGCCUCCCUCCCUCCCUCCCUCCC
rnacentral:lncRNA from 1 species